rnacentral:lncRNA from 1 species
AAGCAGCGUAGCGCUUCCGGCCUAAGCCGGAGAAACGCUGGCGGCGGAGUGGCCAGGAGGUGGGCUCAGAGGGCGGCGCAGAAACCAGUUCUGUUCUCUCACAGGCCCUCCGACAGUCCCGGGCUGCUGCAGGCCCGGGCGGGGUAGGAUCGCACUCAGAGCUGUUCGCCUCGCCUGCGCCCUCCUCUCGGCUAAGCGCUCGAAC